GACGAACGCUGGCGGCGUGCUUAACACAUGCAAGUCGAGCGGUAAGGCCCUUUCGGGGGUACACGAGCGGCGAACGGGUGAGUAACACGUGGGUGACCUGCCCUUAGCUCUGGGAUAAGCCUGGGAAACCGGGUCUAAUACCGGAUAUGACUCCAUGACGCAUGUUGUGGGGUGGAAAGCCUUGUGCGGCUGAGGAUGGGCCCGCGGCCUAUCAGCUUGUUGGUGGGGUGAUGGCCUACCAAGGCGACGACGGGUAGCCGGCCUGAGAGGGCGACCGGCCACACUGGGACUGAGACACGGCCCAGACUCCUACGGGAGGCAGCAGUGGGGAAUCUUGCGCAAUGGGCGAAAGCCUGACGCAGCGACGCCGCGUGAGGGAUGACGGCCUG
rnacentral:rRNA from 1 species